CUCACUUUGCAACUCACACACAUCACUUUUCCUACACAUACGCACAAAAUUCCUCUGUCGGCGCAGCGCACCUCCGGCAACCACCGCCUUCCGUCCAACGUGGAAGCCCCUCCUUGUCUCCCACCCUGUCUCGUCACAUCUCUCCCUCCCUACACACCCACACAUUUAUAUCUCUCUGCAGCGGUUGUCCGACCGAUUCUGCCACCGCCGUCACCGUUUUCCGGCAACUGUAGCUAGAAUUGUAUGCCCUUUGUCCUUAAUGGGUGGAUGGUCUGUGUGGAGUCCUAUCGAGGACAAAAUCCGCGUCUGCUGCAUCUGAUUCUGUUUCUGAUCUGGUUCGCGUACCCUAGUCUGUCACUAAGCACUUAAAGGGGCUAUAUGUGUUUGAAUAUGUGAAAAUAUUAGGUGAUCAUAUUAGCUCAUUUGCUUCACAGCUGCUCAAGUCGAGUGACUACCUAACCUUUCGCGUUUGAAUAAUUAUUUAAUACAUUAGUUGUGGCAUGUGUAGAAUGUGUAAUGUGUUUGGAACAUCUUAAUCAUUUCAUACACUUUUGUUAAACAAAUAUAGUUGUAAAUAGUGAUCCAUGUUGUGCGUGUGUGUGUAUAUAUAUAUAUAUAUAGAUAUAUAUAUAUAUAUAGAGAGAGAGAUGAUCAAAAUAAAAAUGCA